rnacentral:misc_RNA from 1 species
GUGAAUCAUCAAAUCUUUGAACGCAAAUUGCACUCUCCGCGGAGAGUAUGCCUGUUUGAGGGUCAGCCUAUAAAAAAUCGACAUUGUUUCUGUUAUGUAAUGGUGACUUUCGUCGGUGAUUGGGAUAUCUUAAAUCUUUUUUUUUUUUUGGUUUAAUCGUCUUAAAAUUUUUCUUCACGAUUUCCUAAACGUUUUUAAGUUUUUUAUUUCUUAUACG